AUUGAACGCUGGCGGCAGGCCUAACACAUGCAAGUCGAACGAGAGGCGGACGGGUGAGUAAUGUCUGGGAAACUGCAUGAUGGAGGGGGAUAACUACUGGAAACGGUAGCUAAUACCGCAUACCAUCGGAUGAGCCCAGAUGGGAUUAGCUAGUAGGUGGGGUAAAGGCUCACCGAGGCGAAGAUCCCUAGCUGGUCUGAGAGGAUGACAAGCCACACUGGAACUGUGAAACGGUCCAGACUCCUACGUGAGGCAGCAGUGGUGAAUAUUGCACAAUGGGCGCAAGCCUGAUGCAGCCAUGCCGCGUGUAUGAAGAAGGCCUUCGGGUUGUAAAGUACUUUCAGCGGGGAGGCGUUACCCGCAGAAGAAGCACCGGCUAACUCCGUGCCAGCCGCCGCGGUAAUAC
rnacentral:rRNA from 1 species